rnacentral:tRNA from 1 species
CAAAAUGUAGCUUAAAACAAAGCAUCUUGCUUACACCAAGAAAAUGCCCACUAAACUCGGACCAUUUUG